UACGAAGGGGGCUAGCGUUGCUCGGAAUCACUGGGCGUAAAGCGCACGUAGGCGGCUUUUUAAGUCAGGGGUGAAAUCCUGGAGCUCAACUCCAGAACUGCCUUUGAUACUGAGAGCUUGAGUCCGGGAGAGGUGAGUGGAACUGCGAGUGUAGAGGUGAAAUUCGUAGAUAUUCGCAAGAACACCGGUGGCGAAGGCGGCUCACUGGCCCGGUACUGACGCUGAUGUGCGAAAGCGUGGGGAGCAAACAGG
rnacentral:rRNA from 1 species